AUACGUAGGGUGCGAGCGUUGUCCGGAAUUACUGGGCGUAAAGAGCUCGUAGGUGGUUUGUCGCGUCGUCUGUGAAAUUCCGGGGCUUAACUCCGGGCGUGCAGGCGAUACGGGCAUAACUUGAGUACUGUAGGGGAGACUGGAAUUCCUGGUGUAGCGGUGAAAUGCGCAGAUAUCAGGAGGAACACCGGUGGCGAAGGCGGGUCUCUGGGCAGUAACUGACGCUGAGGAGCGAAAGCAUGGGUAGCGAACAGGAUUAGAUACCCUGGUAGUCCAUGCCGUAAACGGUGGGCGCUAGGUGUAGGGGUCUUCCACGACUUCUGUGCCGUAGCUAACGCAUUAAGCGCCCCGCCUGGGGAGUACGGCCGCAAGGCUAAAACUCAAAUGAAUUG
rnacentral:rRNA from 1 species